rnacentral:rRNA from 1 species
GAUGAACGCUGACAGAAUGCUUAACACAUGCAAGUCGACUCGAGUCUUCGGACUUGGGUGGCGCACGGGUGAGUAACGUGUAAAGAACUUGCCCUCUAGACUGGGAUAACAGAUAGAAAUGUCUGAUAAUACCGGAUAUUAUUGUUACAUGGCAUCAUGUAGGAAUGAAAGGAUAAGAUUGCUAGAGGAGAGCUUUGCAUCCUAUUAGCUAGUUGGUAAGGUAGCGGCUUACCAAGGCGAUGAUAGGUAGCCGGCCUGAGAGGGUGGACGGCCACAAGGGGACUGAGAUACGGCCCUU